AAACACAACCAGAGUUACACACUUACACACACUUGCCCACGAUUACACACGGAGAGAGCGAGAGAAAGAGCGCGAGAGAGGAAAGAAGAAAACGAAACAGGGAGGUUAUCGUAAGCAUAUUUUCUCAGAUUUGAACUUGUUUCUGUGAAUUAUCAUGAGCAUCGAGUAGGACAUGUUGGGGAAGAGGUGCAUGGGCACGAUCACCGGCAGUGGUGACUUGGAUACCGUUCGUUGGCCAAAUUUUCACUAGCGAUCAGUCAAGUUUCGGAGGCUGUCAAAUUCAGUUUAAAUGAUCAACAAAAUUAUGUUAACAACUGGAAUAAAGGCUGAGAUCCUCACUUUCUGUUUGACUGACCUGCUGCUCAGCGCUCUUCAUGGUCUGAAAUUCCUAGAAGUUCAGAUCUCUAUGGUCAGAGGAAGAGGAAGAUGAAAAUAUAUGCAUUCUCAUGUUCCGUUCACUCAUCAGCUCUGAUAAAGCAUUGGCAGCGCAAAACAAAUUCCUGGAACAAAGGCGAAGGGGAAGUCCAGGACAAAUGCCAUCCAAAGGAAAGUCUAUUUCUAGUCUUGAGGCCAUGGGGAUUAAAAUCUAUGGAGUAGACGAACCUAAUAUGGGGGAGUCAAAAAGUGAAAUUUCAUGGGAAAAUAUAGCUGGUUAUAGUCAGCAGAAAAGAAGAUACCAUAUUAUUGCCAUACACAGUCCCGAAGUGUAUGAUGAUAUUGCUCGUGGAACCAGGUGCAAGUUUGAGACAAACAGACCCCGAGCUGUUCUUUUUGAAGGCCCUCCAGGUUUGCCUCAUUUGAUUACAUGUUCAUGUAAAAUUACUAAUAUAAGUGCAUAUAAUUAUAUAACUGGCUUGUGUAAAGCAUGAGACUUUUGGUCUCUUAAAAGUUUUAUGAGGAUAUGCUUUGGUAUGACUACGAUUAGACCUGGAUAUGAAUAUUGUUGGUUUUGGAUUAUUAAUUAUGGAUUUGGAUUGAUUUGGAAAUGAGACUGGCUGCAGGUUGGGUCAUUCGGGUGUGGUAUUUUUUGUUGAGCUUAAUUGUAUGUUGUGGAAACGUGUACGUUAUUUUGUUUAUGACUUAAGGCAUGCUGUCAGGAAUUGUAUUUGGUUGGCUUUGAUUUUGAUUUUUUGGAGAUUCGUGUUGGUUGAUCAUGGUAAGGCCUUAAGUUACGUGACUAAAGCUUGGGUUUGUUUCAUGGUGGGGACUUUGAUAUGGUUUGUAAAGACACUGUUUGUUAAGGUUCUAGCUUCAUCGUUUCAUGUUAGCAGUUUCUUAGAUCGAAUUCAGGAUGCAUUGUUUGAUCAAUAUGUGAUUGAGAGCCUCUCAGGGUCACCAUUAGUCGAGCAUCAUCUACCUAAAGCCAGUAGAAGAGGAUCAGAUCAUGGCGGCGGUUCCUCACUUGCAGAAUGUUGGCGCUAUUGUACAUCAGGAGUUUUAGUAUUUUAGCAUCAUUCGGAGUUUGGUAGUAUAUUAGUUCCUGAUGAGCUCAUCAGGAUCAUCAGGAGCUCAAUAACAGUUAAAUAGCUCAUCAGGAGUUAAUAAGAGUAUAACUCAAAAUUGUCUUUAUGUAAAGUUGUGAAGUUGACUUUAUGUGUAGUCAUGAUAUA